rnacentral:lncRNA from 1 species
UUAGAUUAGCUAAUUACAGAUGGGCAAUGACAUGCCUGAGCGACAAUUCGAAUCAUAGAGAUGAGUAUUUAACUUUGAUAAUUGUAGUAAGUGGUGCUCCCAUGCAUUGUUAUUCCAACAAGGAGGGGGAAGAGAAGAGUGCUUCGCAAGUGCAACCGCAGUUACUUGGCCGAGUGCUUAUGCAUAAAUAUAUCUGUGGACCGGAG